UGUCCCACCCUCCCCAAGUCCGGAGCGAUGGUACGUCCUGCUCCGCCAGCGUCACGUGGGCGCCCCCUCUGUGACGUCGGCGUCUUCGCUGUAGCAAAGCUCGGCCUCUGGAAUUCUGAGAACUAAUUUGCUAUUCGGUGACAUAAGACGGGGAGUGCGCUUUGCUUUCUCGGGGUCUGGGUCUAAUUCCUCUUCUCUUACCCGUAAACUCAGCUUCUCGAGCUAAAUAUACAAAAGGGAGAGAGAAGUUCGAACCGUUGGAAAAACUCUGUUAUAUAUAGCAGGUUUAGAGGCGAGUGAGAGAAAAACAAUAAACACAGCUCUUUCCAGCUAGAAUAUUAGGCACCACGAGAAAAAUAUUUGCAAAGCAGUUUUCGGUGGGUUCGUUUGCUUUAUUUUUAUUUAAGACAGGUUUUUGUUUUUGUUUUUUUCCUUGUUGAUGUGCUGGCUUGGUUUUUUGGUGGUUGUAUUUUGAUGAUUUUCGGAUUUUUCUUCUGAUUUUGCUGUUUGCAAGUUUGUGAUGUUACGUAAAUCGUAGGAUCCCGCAUCGGUUGGAUUUUGUGUGUGUGUGUGUGUGUGUUUUCCCUUUCCAAAUCUCUCAAGCAUUUUAAAGAAGAUGUGGUGUUUUGGCAUUUGAUAUUAUUGAAAGAAGCUUACAUUUUUAAUCGUAUGUAACAAUCCUCUCACCCCCCACACCCCCCCUUUUUUUUUUGGUGCAAUUUUCCUCUUCCCCCUUGGACUUUCACCGGAAGGAGGGUCUCCUGCACUAGAGGAACCUGUUCAAAGGAUUUGUUUUGGUUUGGUUUGUUUCUUUCCAGGACAGCAAGUGGUGGGUUUACUCUUUCUGUUAUUGUUAACUCUUAGGAGAUCUCUUAUUGCAAGAAACGUGUAUGUAUUAUGGGUAUGUGUACGCAUGUGUUCUCAGAAGUCUGUGAGCCAAAUACAUGUUUGUGUUUUGCUUUUCCUUAAGGUCUUGAUUCUCCGCCUCCCACCCCCACCCCGUUCCCCCACUUCCCACCCGCCUCGGCUCUUUUCAAGGUCGUUGUAAAAUAUCUCUUCUGUCUGUGUUUAAGAGAUCAGCCAGAGGGAAUUCUGAAGGCCUGCCUUGCCAGUAUCACAGAUACUGCAUGUAUUUAGAACAGACUGUGCUACAACUAUAACGCGCUGCACGCAGCACAGUCCUCUUAGCUUUCUAGCUGAGUUGGGAGGAGGAGGAGAAGGGGAAAUCUUUCUUUCUUUCUUUCUUCCUUUCUUUUUAAAGGCAAAUACAGUGCAGAAUCAUUUCACUGUGGGCCUCUGUUUGUUUAUUCAGAACUGCCAGUUUCCCUAUUUAAAUGUUGGUUGGGGUUUUUUCCCCUCCUACUCAUCCCUGAAUGAGGGAAACUCUUGUUUCUUUUAUGUCUCUCUUAAAAGAAGGGUGUGAGGGGAAAAUAAUAUUUCAGAUUCCUCAAGAAUUAACCCAAAAUGUUUGGACCAGAAACGACUUUCAAAGGUCAGGCUGUUCUGAGCCUUGGCUAUGAGAGUUCUUCAGGCGACUCAUUAAAUUACAGAUGAGUUCUUGAAGGUUCCACAAAAUUUCUGCCCAUGUUAAUUUCCAAUAAAGAUAUCUCCUAAAAUAACGUCUCCCAACCCCAAAUUUGGGUUUGUAAUGGAGAAGUGAGCAAAGCUGUGAAAGACUGCUGCCUGGUUACUGAGAUAUUUGGGAUCACUUUCUCAGAAGAAAGUUCAGGUCAGUUGCUGAAAAUGCUCUUGUGGAUGUAGUCCCCCCCUCUUAAAGAACCAGGAGAGGUCCAAAGGUGUUGAUUACUUUCCACAAGGGCUGGAGCUUAGGAAAUUAUGUACAAGUGCCUGUCCCUGUAAAAUCUGAAUAUUUUAAUACUUAUGGACAGAUGGAUUACUUCAGCCUCUGCAGAAAAGCCUGUCCUGUAAAGGAUUUUUUGAAAAGUAUACAUAGGUCUAAUCCUGUCACUGUUGUUGAAAUGAGCAUUUUAACCCCAAAGACACACGAUAUUGUCAAGUGCAGGUCCAUUCUGCUAGAAGGCAAAUUGCUUUUCUUAUUGUCUCCUUAUCCCUCAUUUUCAAAGAGUUUUAAAUUAAUCCCACUAGAUUCAAAAUGAUACCCCGAUUUUGCUGGUGAUUUUCUUUGUUUAUUUAUAUGUGUGACUGUUUUUUCCCUAUCUUUUAUGAGCAAUAAGAACUUUAGGGUUUCUCAGAUGUACCUGUAUGGUUUGGAAUGUGAAAUGUAUGGCUCGGCCCUAUUCUUGGUCCUACAUUUAGAUUACCUAUAUGAUUUUUGUUCACUUUUCUUGUCAAAGUUGCCAUCCUGCCUCACUGGUUGGUCCCCUACUCGCAACUGUAGACACACAGUUCAUCCCUUCUGCGUUUUCUUUGCCACUCCAACCUUAGCCCCAUGGGGGCGCUGCAGAGCAAAGGGAAAUCUCCCUCUGGCCGUAGAACCAGCCAGAAUGGGGGCUGGGAAGUAAUUCACCCCUCUUGUAAGUCAGCCCUUUUUAAUUCUCUUCAGGGAGCCCUUGGAGGGAAAACCCACCAGACCUGGUUUAUAGAUAAUUAACCCCACCACUAGAGACCUCAAACCUCCUUAGCACAUUAUUUCUGGUACCAAGUGCCAGAGUCCCACAUUUCUACUACAGUUUUUUUGUGGAUUUUUUAAUUUGUUUUUGCCAAGUCAGUGUUUACACUGAAAGAAACUGAUCAAAGCAGAAGAAGACAGUUAAAAGACAAAAACGUUACUGAAAAUGUUCUGAAGAUAGAGACUUUUGGCCUCCACCCGCAGAAACCUUUCAGCUGCCUGAAAUUCGAGUCAUUAAACUGUUCCCUGAGGUCAGACUACAGAUGCUUGGUGCAUGUUUCCUACACGUCGGAGUCUAUGCAACAUAUGUACAUACAGACACAGACACACACACACACACAGACACACACACACACACACACACACACACACACACACACAGACACACACAUAAUUCCGCGGGGCACAGUGUGAAGUAGAAAAAAAAACAACAACUGGAUUUGUUGCCAGAAAAACCUUGGUUUCUAAUUACAGUUCUGCCUAGAAUGCCUAAUAGAGCCUGGAGCAAAACACUUGUCAGGACUCAGUUUCCUCAACUGUCUGAAAUAAUAACCCAGAUGAUCUGCAUGAUGUCCGUCUGUUCUAAAUUCUAUACCUUUUUAUCUAAAUAUAUAUUUACAUAACCUAAAGUUGGGGGGUGGAAAGGAGCUGUAUGUAUAUGUGUACUUGGAAUAGGGGAAGGGGUUAAAAUUUAAACUUCUAAGUAAAGAAGGCAGUCCCAGAAUCAUCACCUCUAUCAAUUUUUAACCAAUUGUAGACCAAAGUCUGAGAUUAUGCUGAGUGGGUUCAAAAGCCAAAUGAAGAUUUUAAAUGUUGAGUUAGAGGAGGUAGGUUUUGAGACCUUGUACCUUUGAUCUCCAGCAUUUAUAAUCAAAAGUGACACUUUCCAAGUGUCUUUUCAGCACUAUAGUUUUUUUUCCCCCCCUUCUGUUUGUUUUUGGAAACUGUCCCAGUCAAUGAUGGGAGAUGUCACUUGUAACUGGGCAGUCUUUAAGCCCUGGGCCCCAUGUGCAUGUGAAAAAUAUGUCAUAACAUUCACACACACACACACACACACACACACACACACAAGAAAGAAAGAAAAAAAACCUAGAGAGAGAUUCCUGGUAAGAAACUUAGAGUGGCUCAGCCAUCAAUGCAUUAAAGGACCCGCGUCUGUGAGAGGAGCAUCAGCUCAAUCCCAACAGAGGGCUCUCCCAUGAGGUGUGUGGUGAAGUUCUCCUCAAAAUCAUCAAGCUCCUCAAAAACACAAAAAGUCUGACAAAUUGCCACAACCAAGAGCAGCCAGAGGAGACAUGACAACUUAACACAGUAUAGAACAGAAAAAGACAUAAGAAGCCUCCAAAAACUGACCCAGGCCUCUGUUGAAAUCUGAGAGGUCAUGCUUCCCACUCAGAGUGGAGACCAGGAAUCUAUUUUCAAGGCACAAUUCAACAAUCAAGGGAAAAAAAAAAUCUUUGAAUGAAUAUAUGUGUCCAAGCUUUACAUCUAACAACAAAAACAACCUACAUGCCCCAUCAUGACUACGUUGGAGAAAAGGAUAUUGGAUGGAGGGUGGUUAAGUAAAUUAUAAUACAAGUAAUUUUUUAAAAAUUAGAAUUGGAAAAUACUUAUGGUAACAGGUAAAGAAGUAUAUGUAUGCAUAUGUAAUGUAUGUAUAUAGUAUAUUCACACCUAUGUUUAUAAUACUUAAGGAAAAUAGACUAGAUAUAAGAAUGCACAGUUAAUAAAAAAUAUUUACAGUGAUUGCUUUAGAGUAGUAGAAUUAUGAAUGCUUUUCCCCUCCUUUAUCCUUUUCUUUCAAAUUGUGUAAUGCUUAUAUAUUAGUUUGAUAUCUAUCUAUGUAACAAGCACAUAUUCAAGACACGGAAAAGCUCUAGGUGAAGUCUUUUAAAUGCAAACAGUCCCCUAAAUAACGGUUUUGAAUGUUUGACCUAAAGUUGAUGCUACCCACAUCUUUAGGGUCUAUAGCAAAAGUGAAAACUGGCCACUCACUCUUAGAGAAGACCUUUCACUCUGUGAGACACUUUACCAACAAAACAUUACCCUUUCUGAGCACAAGGACCAUAAUGAGAUUAGGUAGGUCCUGUAAAUCUUUGAACUGUCUCCACCCACUUGCUCUUAGUGUGGUUAUCUUGUUUGUUGCUAUUUCGUAGCAUUUGCAAAUGUCAAAGGGUUUCCUUGUUACUUUGCUGUCUGUGAGACCACCCAGGAGCCUUCCUGGUAGAUAGACUUCCUUGGGAUCCUUCUGGGGCUACUAAUUUAUUUUUGAUUCUUACAACAUGUAUAACUAGUAAAUGCUA